ACUUCAUUCGUUUUUUUCUUGUAAUAUUAUUCCAAGCAGUUUGCGCCAUCUUGCUCCAGUCCACUAGGCGGCGGCAAAACACACACAAGAAAACUAAAUGUAAAACGUUUCGGAACCAGAAGAAGCAAACAGAAGAAAAGAUGGCGGCGUCCAUGCUGGUGCAGAGGACGGCAGCGUUGUGUGGGACUUUAAAGGGAGCUUCCCUGUCCAAAGCCAUCCUUCCUGUACACUGUCGCUGUGGGUUUGUGUUGCAGACUGCAAGCUACAACCCCAAACGGCUGUGGCUGAACCUCCGGGAUCCCUACAUCCCCGACAAGGAGAGCAACAAAACCCCGGAGUGGCAGAAGACGUCUCGGUAUGACAGGAAGCUGUUCGGCCGCUACGGCUCAGCCUCGGGCAUCGCCCCCGAGUCUCUGUGGCCGUCUUCCAAGGAGCUGGAGAAGAUUAUAGCGGAGGAAAAAGACUGGCACCCACCUUUGGAAGUCAUGCUGAAGAACAUAGAGGCUAGAGAGAAGGAGGAAACCGAGAAGCGGCUCGCGAAGGAGAAGCUCAUAGCGGCGAACAUGGCCAAGAUGCCCAAGAUGGUGGAAGAUUGGCGCAGGGAAAAGCGCGAGGCCAAGCAGAAGCUGAAGGAGGAGAAGGAGCGGAAAGCCAAGCAGCUGGCCGAGGCGCAGGAGCGCUUCGGGUACAAAGUGGACCCCCGCAGCCCCAAGUUCCUGGAGAUGGUCGCCGAGAUAGAGAAGGAAGAGAAGAAGAAACGGAAACUGCUGAAGCGCAGACAGAAGGAGGCACAGGCUGCAGCGCCCCCUGUUGCAGCGCCCCCUGCUGCCCAGCCCUAGAACUGGAGUUUUCAGCAACACAUGCUGUCAGUUUUUAAGGGUCCGCCUUGAGUUUGGCCAGAGCAGCGUGGAUCCUGAACAGGGUCCUGGACUCCAUGGAGUAGUCCUUGUAGUUGUGCCUGAGGGACACAAGAGCAGGUCGAGCUAGUGUCUAAAAAGAAAUCCCUGCAUCCUGCAAGCUGUGGAUGUCUGACUUACUUGGCUUUAUGGAGUAUCUUGAUAGCCGCGUCUCUCCUGCCUUGGUCGAUGUAAAGCAGACUGAGCUCCACCAGAGCGUUGGGCACCAGAACUCUGUGAUUGUACGCUCGCUGCUCAGUCUUUCCAACAAAAAACACAACCCUGACCUGAAGAGCUCCAYCUCGUUCUCUCCAAAAGGCCGCGCCUCUUCCUCCGGCAGCAUGCUGAGAGUCGGACACCUUGGACCAGCGGCUCUCCUGGCUCAGCAGGUCUGCGUAGAAGUAGGCCAUCUUCCAGGCGCGCUUGAAGGUGAAGCACCAC